rnacentral:rRNA from 1 species
AGAGUUUGAUCCUGGCUCAGAACGAACGCUGGCGGCGUGGAUAAGACAUGCAAGUCGAGCGCUGAUUACGAGGUAGCAAUAUUUCGUGGUCGGAGCGGCGCAAGGGUGCGUAACACGUGGGUAAUCUGCCAUGAAGUUUGGAAUAACUUGCUGAAAGGCGAGCUAAUGCCGAAUGUGACAACCGGGAGGCAUCUUUUGGUUGUUAAAGUUGGGGACCGUAAGGCCUGACGCUUCAUGAUGAGCCCGCGGCCUAUCAGCUAGUUGGUGAGGUAACGGCUCACCAAGGCUAAGACGGGUAGCUGGUCUGAGAGGACGACCAGCCACACUGGAACUGAGACACGGUCCAGACACCUACGGGUGGCAGCAGUCGAGAAUUUUUCACAAUGGGCGCAAGCCUGAUGGAGCGACGCCGCGUGGGGGAUGAAUGGCUUCGGCCCGUAAACCCCUGUCAUUUGCGAUCAAACCUUGUUAUUUAAAAGAUGACGAGCUGAUAGUAGCGAAAGAGGAAGGGACGGCUAACUCUGUGCCAGCAGCCGCGGUAAUACAGAGGUCCCAAGCGUUGUUCGGAUUCACUGGGCGUAAAGGGUGCGUAGGUGGCGAGGUAAGUCGGAUGUGAAAGCUCGGAGCUCAACUCCGAAAUGGCAUUGGAAACUACCUUGCUCGAGGGUUGGAGGGGGGACUGGAAUGCUUGGUGUAGCAGUGAAAUGCGUAGAUAUCAAGCGGAACACCAGUGGCGAAGGCGAGUCCCUGGACAACUCCUGACACUGAGGCACGAAAGCUAGGGGAGCAAACAGGAUUAGAUACCCUAGUAGUCC